rnacentral:rRNA from 1 species
UACGAAGGGGGCUAGCGUUGCUCGGAAUGACUGGGCGUAAAGGGCGCGUAGGCGGAUUGCUUUGUCGGGCGUGAAAUUCCAGGGCUUAACCUUGGGGCUGCGUUCGAGACGGGUGAUCUUGAGUUCGGAAGAGGGUCGUGGAAUUCCCAGUGUAGAGGUGAAAUGCGCAGAUAUCAGGAGGAACACCGAUGGCGAAGGCAGCUCGCUGGGACGGUACUGACGCUGAGGUGCGAAAGCGUGGGGAGCAAACAGG